CGACUUAGCUCAGUUGGUAGAGCAACUCAUUCGUAAUGAGUAGGUCGUUGGUUCGAUUCCGAUAGUCGG
rnacentral:tRNA from 1 species